UGGGGAAUCUUGGACAAUGGGCGCAAGCCUGAUCCAGCCAUGCCGCGUGAGUGAUGAAGGCCCUAGGGUUGUAAAGCUCUUUCACCGGAGACGAUAAUGACGGUAUCCGGAGAAGAAGCCCCGGCUAACUUCGUGCCAGCAGCCGCGGUAAUACGAAAGGGGCUAGCGUUGUUCGGAAUUACUGGGCGUAAAGCGCGCGUAGGCGGCAUGCCAAGUUGGGGGUGAAAUCCCUGGGCUCAACCCAGGAACUGCCUCCAAAACUGGCAAGCUAGAGGAUGUGAGAGGAUAGUGGAAUUCCGAGUGUAGAGGUGAAAUUCGUAGAUAUUCGGAAGAACACCAGUGGCGAAGGCGACUGUCUGGCACAUUUCUGACGCUGAGGUGCGAAAGCGUGGGGAGCAAACAGGAUUAGAUACCCCCGUAGUCC
rnacentral:rRNA from 1 species